GACGAACGCUGGCGGCGUGCCUAAUACAUGCAAGUCGAGCGGAGUUAGAGAAGCUUGCUUCUCUAAUUUAGCGGCGGACGGGUGAGUAACACGUGGGCAAUCUGCCCGUAAGACUGGGAUAACUCCGGGAAACCGGGGCUAAUACCGGAUAAUACUGACUCUCUCCUGAGAGUCAGUUGAAAGAUGGUUUCGGCUAUCACUUACGGAUGAGCCCGCGGCGCAUUAGCUAGUUGGUAGGGUAAUGGCCUACCAAGGCGACGAUGCGUAGCCGACCUGAGAGGGUGAUCGGCCACACUGGGACUGAGACACGGCCCAGACUCCUACGGGAGGCAGCAGUAGGGAAUCUUCCGCAAUGGACGAAAGUCUGAUGGAGCAACGCCGCGUGAGUGAAGAAGGUUUUCGGAUCGUAAAACUCUGUUGUAAGGGAAGAACACGUACGAGAGUAACUGCUCGUACCUUGACGGUACCUUAUUAGAAAGCCACGGCUAACUACGUG
rnacentral:rRNA from 1 species